rnacentral:misc_RNA from 1 species
AGCAUAUUCUAUUUACCCCUCUAUUUUUUCUUGAGGCCAAACAAGGAAGGGCUUAUCUUCUCAGUGUUACAAAUCUUAACUUCCUUGUUGCAAACUUCCUCGAAGGCCGAGCAUGGGAAAGUCCUCGACAGUCCUGUCGGGGACUUGAAGACGAGCUUCGUCAGAUCAUGAACGUAGGCCUCCCCCACGUUGAGCCACACCAGGAGCUCCCUCGCCUUUACACCGGUCAGUUUCUUGAUCUUCAGCUUCUCCACGUACGCAGUGAUCUCAGUAUCAUAUGACACCUGUUUUCCGAUCUUUUCGAAGCAAUGCUGGAUCUUCUUCUUCUGCUUGAGCCAUACGAAGCCGGUCUGCUCGA